rnacentral:misc_RNA from 1 species
GAUGAAGAACGUAGCGAAAUGCGAUACGUAAUGUGAAUUGCAGAAUUCAGUGAAUCAUCGAAUCUUUGAACGCACAUUGCGCCUGCCAGCACUCUGGCAGGCAUGCCUGUUCGAGCGUCAUUUCAACCAUCAAGCCCUAGGCUUGCGUUGGAGCCCUGCGGCAGCCGCAGGCCCCUAAAAGCAGUGGCGGGCUCGCUAUCACACCGAGCGUAGUAAGCAUUAUCUCGCUCAGGGCGUGCUGCGGGUUCCGGCCGUUAAAUGAAAAGCCUUCGUAGCCCAAGGUUGACCUCGGAUCAGGUAGGAAGACCCGCUGAACUUAAGCAUAUCAAUAAGCGGAGGA